rnacentral:rRNA from 1 species
AGAAUCAACGCUGGCGGCGUGCCUCAGACAUGCAAGUCGAACGAUUAAACUUUCCUUCGGGGAAGAUAUAAAGUGGCGCACGGGUGAGUAACACGUAAGUAAUCUACCUUCGAGUGGGGAAUAACAGUCGGAAACGACUGCUAAUACCGCAUAAUGCAGCGGCAUCGCAAGAUGACAGUUGUUAAAGGAGCAAUCCGCUUGAAGAGGAGCUUGCGGCAGAUUAGCUAGUUGGUAAGGUAAUGGCUUACCAAGGCUACGAUCUGUA